rnacentral:rRNA from 1 species
UAAAAGUCGUAACAAGGUUUCCGUAGGUGAACCUGCGGAAGGAUCAUUAAAAAUUUAAUUGUUUACACGUUUACGUUUAACAUAUACAACUAACCAACUUAAUUAUGUCAACAACAACAACCAAAAAUCAAAACUUUCAACAACGGAUCUCUUGGUUCUCGCAUCGAUGAAGAACGCAGCGAAAUGCGAUAAGUAAUAUGAAUUGCAGAUUUUCGUGAAUCAUCGAAUCUUUGAACGCACAUUGCACCUUGUGGUAUUCCACAAGGUAUGCCUGUUUGAGCGUCAUUUCUCCCUCAACCCCCGCGGGUUGGCGUUGAAUGGCACGAGCUCUUAGUCAGUCCAUUCGAAAAGUAUUUUUCUUGUGUUGUUAUUUUCUAAUUUAGUAGUGACAACCACACUAAAAACACAUUUUCCUCAAAUCAGGUAGGACUACCCGCUGAACUUAAGCAUAUCA